GAUGAACGCUGGCGGCGUGCCUAAUACAUGCAAGUCGAGCGAACAGACGAGGAGCCUGCUCCUCUGACGUUAGCGGCGGACGGGUGAGUAACACGUGGAUAACCUACCUAUAAGACUGGGAUAACUUCGGGAAACCGGAGCUAAUACCGGAUAAUAUAUUGAACCGCAUGGUUCAAUAGUGAAAGACGGUUUUGCUGUCACUUAUAGAUGGAUCCGCGCCGCAUUAGCUAGUUGGUAAGGUAACGGCUUACCAAGGCAACGAUGCGUAGCCGACCUGAGAGGGUGAUCGGCCACACUGGAACUGAGACACGGUCCAGACUCCUACGGGAGGCAGCAGUAGGGAAUCUUCCGCAAUGGGCGAAAGCCUGACGGAGCAACGCCGCGUGAGUGAUGAGGGUCUUCGGAUCGUAAAACUCUGUUAUUAGGGAAGAACAAAUGUGUAAGUAACUAUGCACGUCUUGACGGUACCUAAUCAGAAAGCCACGGCUAACUACGUG
rnacentral:rRNA from 1 species